rnacentral:rRNA from 1 species
UUAGUUGCCAUCAUUAAGUUGGGCACUCUAAGUUGACUGCCGGUGACAAACCGGAGGAAGGUGGGGAUGACGUCAAAUCAUCAUGCCCCUUAUGAUUUGGGCUACACACGUGCUACAAUGGACAAUACAAAGGGCAGCGAAACCGCGAGGUCAAGCAAAUCCCAUAAAGUUGUUCUCAGUUCGGAUUGUAGUCUGCAACUCGACUACAUGAAGCUGGAAUCGCUAGUAAUCGUAGAUCAGCAUGCUACGGUGAAUACGUUCCCGGGUCUUGUACACACCGCCCGUCACACCACGAGAGUUUGUAACACCCGAAGCCGGUGGAGUAACCUUUUAGGAGCUAGCCGUCGAAGGUGGGACAAAUGAUUGGGGUGAAGUCGUAACAAGGUAGCCGUAUCGGAAGGUGCGGCUGGAUCACCUCCUUU